CCUACGGGAGGCAGCAGUGGGGAAUAUUGGACAAUGGGCGAAAGCCUGAUCCAGCAAUGCCGCGUGAGUGAUGAAGGCCUUAGGGUUGUAAAGCUCUUUUACCAGGGAUGAUAAUGACAGUACCUGGAGAAUAAGCUCCGGCUAACUCCGUGCCAGCAGCCGCGGUAAUACGGAGGGAGCUAGCGUUGUUCGGAAUUACUGGGCGUAAAGCGUACGUAGGCGGUUAUUCAAGUCAGAGGUGAAAGCCUGGAGCUCAACUCCAGAACUGCCUUUGAAACUAGAUAGCUAGAAUCUUGGAGAGGUGAGUGGAAUUCCGAGUGUAGAGGUGAAAUUCGUAGAUAUUCGGAAGAACACCAGUGGCGAAGGCGACUCACUGGACAAGUAUUGACGCUGAGGUACGAAAGCGUGGGGAGCAAACAGGAUUAGAUACCCUGGUAGUCCACGCCGUAAACGAUGAUAACUAGCUGUUCGGGCUCUACGAGCUUGAGUGGCGCAGCUAACGCAUUAAGUUAUCCGCCUGGGGAGUACGGUCGCAAGAUUAAAAACUUAAAUGAAAUUGACGG
rnacentral:rRNA from 1 species